rnacentral:rRNA from 1 species
CAAGUUUAACGGCCGCGGUAUCCUGACCGUGCAAAGGUAGCAUAAUCAUUUGUCCCUCAAUUAGGGACUAGUAUGAAUGGCUAAACGAGAAUUCAACUGUCUCUUAUUCUAAAUCAGUGAAAUUGACCUUCCAGUGAAGAGGCUGGAAUAAAAUAAUAAGACGAGAAGACCCUAUGGAGCUUUAAUUAACUAACCUAAUUAUAACAAUCAAACCCUAAUGGAACAAAAUCAUAAACAUUACGCUAGCAAUUUCGGUUGGGGUGACCUCGGAGAACAAAAAAUCCUCCGAAUGAUUAUAGCAUAGACAAACAAGUCAAAGCAACCCUCUAAAUCUCAUUGAUCCAAAAUUCUUUGACCAACGGACCAAGUUACCCUAGGGAUAACAGCGCAAUCCUAUUUAAGAGUCCAUAUCGACAAUUAGGGUUUACGACCUCGAUGUUGGAUCAGGACAUCCCAA